rnacentral:rRNA from 1 species
CAAUAGCGUAUAUUUAAGUUGUUGCAGUUAAAAAGCUCGUAGUUGGAUUUCGGUUGAGAACGGCCGGUCCGCCGUUUGGUGUGCACUGGCUGGUUUCAACUUCCUGUAGAGGACGUGCUCUGGCUUCACGGCUGGACGCGGAGUCUACGUGGUUACUUUGAAAAAAUUAGAGUGUUCAAAGCGGGCUUACGCUUGAAUAUUUCAGCAUGGAAUAACACUAUAGGACUCCUGUCCUAUUUCGUUGGUCUCGGGACGGGAGUAAUGAUUAAGAGGAACAGUUGGGGGCAUUCGUAUUUCAUUGUCAGAGGUGAAAUUCUUGGAUUUAUGAAAGACGAACUUCUGCGAUAGCAUUUGCCAAGGAUGUUUUCAUUAA